AUUGAACGCUGGCGGCAUGCCUUACACAUGCAAGUCGAACGGUAACAGGUUAAGCUGACGAGUGGCGAACGGGUGAGUAAUGUAUCGGAACGUGCCCAGUCGUGGGGGAUAACUACUCGAAAGAGUGGCUAAUACCGCAUACGACCUGAGGGUGAAAGCGGGGGACCGUAAGGCCUCGCGCGAUUGGAGCGGCCGAUAUCAGAUUAGCUAGUUGGCGGGGUAUAAGCCCACCAAGGCGACGAUCUGUAGCUGGUCUGAGAGGACGACCAGCCACACUGGGACUGAGACACGGCCCAGACUCCUACGGGAGGCAGCAGUGGGGAAUUUUGGACAAUGGACGCAAGUCUGAUCCAGCCAUGCCGCGUGCGGGAAGAAGGCCUUCGGGUUGUAAACCGCUUUUGUCAGGGAAGAAACGGGUUUCUCUAAUACAGAGACCUAAUGACGGUCCUGAAGAAUAAGCACCGGCUAACUACGUGCCAGCCGCCGCGGUAA
rnacentral:rRNA from 1 species